UACGGAGGGUGCAAGCGUUAUCCGGAUUCACUGGGUUUAAAGGGUGCGUAGGCGGACAGGUAAGUCAGUGGUGAAAUCUCUGGGCUUAACCCAGAAACUGCCGUUGAUACUAUUUGUCUUGAAUAUCCUGGAGGUAGGCGGAAUAUGUCAUGUAGCGGUGAAAUGCUUAGAUAUGACAUAGAACACCGAUAGCGAAGGCAGCUUACUACAGGAUGAUUGACGCUGAGGCACGAAAGCGUGGGGAGCAAACAG
rnacentral:rRNA from 1 species